GGUUGAGUUGGUUUUACUCAUUUGUAUUGAUUUAACGCCUUCUAAUUUGGACGAGCAUUGAGAGAAUUCUUCUGGUUGAUUUUACGUGGAGUUUGACUUAGAAUCCUCUAGUUGAACUGAUAAGAGAAUUAAGAUUCAAUCAAUUUUGACCCGAGGGUGGAUCUAGACGGAUGGCUUGAGGUAAAGUAGGGGACGAGAAUUAAAGAUUUCUUUCUAGGCUUUACGUGAAAAUUGAAAUUUUGGAUCUCCUUAGUUCAAAAUACAAGGUAGUAUUUUGAUUAAAAAAAAAGUUAUUAGUGAAUUCAAAAAAAAAAAAUGGUGGUUUAAAUCAGAGUGCGCAGCGAAAGCAUAGUGGUCUAAACUAUUUUUCUAAGUUGGUCAGAAGUAUUAUCCCUUUAAUUUGGCAAGUUUUAAUAACAAAAGACUUGAUUUGAUUUUGAAUUUUUAGAUGUCGCUGCACUAUCUUAGGUUCUCUAAUUUUAUGUCAUGCUAAGGAAAUGC
rnacentral:lncRNA from 1 species